rnacentral:rRNA from 1 species
UACGCAGGCAGCAAGCGUUGUUCGGAGUUACUGGGCGUAAAGGGUGUGUAGGCGGUUGUUUAAGCUUGGUGUGAAAUCUCCCGGCUCAACUGGGAGGGUGCGCCGAAUACUGAAUGACUAGAGUGUGGGAGAGGUGAGUGGAAUUCCUGGUGUAGCGGUGAAAUGCGUAGAUAUCAGGAGGAACACCGGUGGUGUAGACGGCUCACUGGACCAUAACUGACGCUGAGACACGAAAGCGUGGGUAGCAAACAGG